rnacentral:rRNA from 1 species
GACGAACGCUGGCGGCGUGCUUAACACAUGCAAGUCGAACGGAAAGGCCCUGCUUUUGUGGGGUGCUCGAGUGGCGAACGCGUGAGUAACACGCGAGUAACCUCCCCUUGACUUUGGGAUAACUCCAGGAAACUGGGGCUAAUACCGGAUAGGAGCUCCUGCUGCAUGGUGGUGGAUGGAAAGUUUCGGCGUUUGGGGCUGGACUCGCGGCUUAUCAGCUUGUUGGUGGGGUAGUGGCUUACCAAGGCUUUGGCGGGUAGCCGGCCUGAGAGGGUGACCGGCCACAUGGGGACUGAGGUACGGCCCAGAAGCCUACGGGAGGCAGCAGUGGGGAAUAUUGCACAAUGGGCGGAAGCCUGAUGCAGAAACGCCGCGUGCGGGAUGACGGCUUUCGGGUUGUAAACCGAUUUCGCCUGUGACGAAGCGUGAGUGACGGUAAUGGGUAAAGAAGCACCGGCUAACUACGUG